AGGGCACUACCAGGAGUGGAGCCUGCGGCUUAAUUUGACUCAACACGGGAAAACUCACCCGGCCCGGACACUGGAAGGAUUGACAGAUUGAGAGCUCUUUCUUGAUUCAGUGGGUGGUGGUGCAUGGCCGUUCUUAGUUGGUGGAGUGAUUUGUCUGGUUAAUUCCGAUAACGAACGAGACUCUAGCCUACUAAAUAGAUAGUCGGCUUACAAACGUCGACUAGACUUCUUAGAGGGACAGGCGGUGAUUCAACCGCACGAAACAGAGCAAUAACAGGUCUGUGAUGCCCUUAGAUGUCCGGGGCCGCACGCGCGCUACACUGAAGUGAUCAGCGUGCUUUUUCAGCCUACUCUGUCAAGAGUGGGAAACCAAAUGAACCUUCUUCGUGAUUGGGAUAGGGGAUUGUAAUUAUUCCCCUUGAACGAGGAAUUCCCAGUAAGCGCGAGUCAUAAGCUCGCGUUGAUUACGUCCCUGCCCUUUGUACACACCGCCCGUCGCUACUACCGAUUGAAUGUUUU
rnacentral:rRNA from 1 species